UACGAAGGUGGCAAGCGUUGUUCGGAUUUACUGGGCGUACAGGGAGCGUAGGCGGUUGGAUAAGCCCUCCGUGAAAUCCCUCGGCUCAACCAAGGAAGUGCUUUCGAAACUGCUGAGCUUGAGUACUUAAGAGGAUCGCGGAAUUCCCGGUGUAGAGGUGAAAAUUCGUAGAUAUCUGGAGGAACACCGGUGGCGAAGGCGGCAUCCUGGACCGGUAUUGACGCUGAGGCGCGAAAGCCAGGGGAGCAAACGGG
rnacentral:rRNA from 1 species